AGCCCAAUAGCUAGCCCAAUAAGACGAAAACAACAAUUAAUCAUUAAUAACCCCUAAUACAGUAAAUUAAGUCAAACAAACCAUUUUUCCUCCCAAGUACAGGCGAUAAAAAAGGACCUAUGGAGCAACAAAAAAGUACCGCAAGGGACCGCUGAAAAAGAAGUGAAAAAACCAAUCAAGCCCAGAGAAGCAGAGAUUUUAACUCGUACCUUUUGCAUCAUGAUUUAGCCAGUGUUAAUUAAGCAAAACGCAUUUUAGUUUAGCACCCGAAACUAAGUGAGCUACCCCAAGGCAGCCUAUUAAUAGGGCCAACCCGUCUCUGUUGCAAAAGAGUGGGAAGAACUUCAGGUAGAGGUGACACACCUACCGAACUUAGUUAUAGCUGGUUGCCUAAGAUUUGAAUAGAAGUUCAGCCCCUUAGCUUCUUAGUUCAUGCAGGUCC
rnacentral:rRNA from 1 species